rnacentral:rRNA from 1 species
UACGUAGGGACCAAGCGUUGUCCGGAUUUAUUGGGCGUAAAGAGCGUGUAGGCGGCCCGACAGGUCCGUUGUGAAAACUCGAGGCUCAACCUCGAGACGUCGAUGGAAACCGUCGGGCUAGAGUCCGGAAGAGGAGAGUGGAAUUCCUGGUGUAGCGGUGAAAUGCGCAGAUAUCAGGAGGAACACCAAUUGCGAAGGCAGCUCGCUGGGACGUUACUGACGCUGAGACGCGAAAGCGUGGGGAGCAAACAGG